rnacentral:rRNA from 1 species
CCAAUAGCGUAUAUUAAAGUUGUUGCAGUUAAAAAGCUCGUAGUUGAAUUUCGGGGUCAGCAGGUUGGUCGUGCCACUGGUAUGCACUGGCCUUGCUGAUUCCUCCCUCUUGAUGAGCCGUAAUGCCAUUAAUUUGGUGUUGCGGGGAAUCAGGACUGUUACUUUGAAAAAAUUAGAGUGUUUAAAGCAGGCAUUUGCUUGAAUACAUUAGCAUGGAAUAAUGAAAUAAGACGUUCGAUCCUAUUUUGUUGGUUUCUAGGAUUGACGUAAUGAUUAAUAGGGAUAGUUGGGGGCAUUAGUAUUCAAUUGUCAGAGGUGAAAUUCUUGGAUUUAUUGAAGACUAACUACUGCGAAAGCAUUUGCCAAGGAUGUUUUCAUUAAUCAAGAACGAAAGUUAGGGGAUCGAAGACGAUCAGAUACCGUCGUAGUCUUAACCAUAAACUAUGCCGACUAGGGAUCGGAUGAUGUUAAUUUUUUAAUGACUCAUUCGGCGCCUUACG